UAAAUAAAUACAGAUUAAAACUACUAGCAGACUAAAAUAUUAAUUAACUAAAAAUAAUUAAACUCGAAAUCUAAAAGAUUAAAUUUAAUAAAAAUAAAAAUAAACACUAACUUAUAAGAAAGUAGAAAUUAAAAUUUCUUACCUUUUGCAUCAGGGAUAGUUAAAAAUAAAAGAUAGCUUCAAAUCUCGAAAUUUAAAUAUAUAAAAAUUUUGCUAUUAAUGUUAAAAAAUUAAAACCAAUAAAUUUUUAGAUUUUAGAUAAAACCAAUUUUUAAAUAUCUAGUUAUUAGUUAAAUUGAUUAAAUCAAUAGUUAAUUUAAUCAUACAAAAUUAAUUAUUUUUUUUUAACUAAAGUUUUUAGAAGCUAAGUCCUUUAAACUAAUAAAUCAAAAGUAAAAAAUUAAACUUUAUAGAAUUAGUAGUUUCCAAAAGGAAGUGUGUAAAAAUAUUGUUAAUCAAAAAAAUAUUUUAAAUAAGUUAAAUAAUUAUACUAAAAAUUAAUAAAACAUUAAAUAAGAAAAAGUUUAAUAUAAUGACUAUAUUAGUAUACUAUACAAGUUAACAUAAAUAAUUAGGCAAUUACUAGUUUUCAUCUGUUUAGCAAAAACAUAGUUUAAGGAAAUCCUAUCUUAAAUAAAUCCUGCUCAAUGAAUAAUUAAAUAGCUGCAGUAAACUAACUGUACUAAGGUAGCAUAAUAAAUUGCUUUUUAAUUAAAAGCUAGAAUGAAUGGAACUAUGAAAAAUUAACUAUUUAAUAUUAAAAAGUAAAACUUAACUCUUAAGUUAAAAGUCUUAAAUUAAAUCAAAAGACAAGAAGACCCUUUAGAAUUUUAUAAACUAUUUAUAAUUAAUAAGUAAAAUUUAUUAAGUUGGGGAGACUGAGAAAUAUUAAAAUCUUUAUUUAAAUGAAAAUGUUUUCUAACAGAUUAAACUAUCCAAAAAUGAAAUAAAAUAAAUUACCUAAGGGAUAACAGCGUAAAAUUUUUAAAAAGAUCAAAUUCAUAAAAUAAUUUACGACCUCGAUGUUGGAUUAGGAACUAGCUAUAGAGAAGAAUCUAUAAUCUUAGAGUCCGUUCGACCCAUAACAUCCUACAUGAUCUGAGUUCAGACCGGCGUAAGCCAGGUCAGUUUAUAUCUUUGAUAAAAAAUUUAGUCUAUAGUACGAAAGGAUUUAGAAAGAUAAACUUUUU
rnacentral:rRNA from 1 species